rnacentral:rRNA from 1 species
AUUGAACGCUGGCGGCAGGCCUAACACAUGCAAGUCGAACGAGUGGCGGACGGGUGAGUAAUGUAUGGGACUCUGCCUGAUGGAGGGGGAUAACUACUGGAAACGGUAGCUAAUACCGCAUACUAUCGUAUGAGCCCAUAUGGGAUUAGCUAGUAGGUGGGGUAAAGGCUCACCUAGGCGACUAUCCCUAGCUGGUCUGAGAGGAUGAUCAGCCACACUGGAACUGAGACACGGUCCGGACUCCUAAGGGAGGCAGCAGUGGGGAAUAUUGCACAAUGGGCGCAAGCCUGAUGCAGCCAUGCCGCGUGUGUGAAGAAGGCCUUCGGGUUGUAAAGCACUUUCAGCGAGGAGGCGUUACUCGCAGAAGAAGCACCGGCUAACUCCGUGCCAGCAGCCGCGGUAAUAC